rnacentral:sRNA from 1 species
AGUUGCUUACCCCUCUGUGUUUCUCUCACUCUCAAACGUUUUCCACCUGCAUCUUCCUUCGGUUUAACUUUCGAUUUCGUUUUGCUUUGUGCUUUCUCGCUGUCAAAUGAUGUUCUAUUUUUGUGAGAGUCGUCAUCCCAAAACGUUGUUGUCUUUCUGUGAGAGAGUUGUAUAAAAAAUUUCCAAAUAUUUGUCUCUCUCUGAGUCUGGGAUUUGGGUCUAUUUGGAAGGCCUCUUCGCAUCUGUGAAGCUGAGGAGCAGCAGUUUGAGAUUGUUGAGUUGAGUCGUCUCCAAAAAUCCAACCCCCACACUGUAUCAGGAUCCAUCACCAUCUCGCGGUGCCUUGCUCAAAUCGGCUCUGCACUCAUCAUCAAGACUCUGCCUUCACGGAGGACUCCACUUAUCCCGUCACUGAUAAAGGGGUUUCUCAAUCUGUUGUCUGGACUGAAGAAAAGGAGGAUGGGGCUCUCAAAAAUUUCAUAUCCGAGAAAAGACAAAGAUUUUGGGACUUUAAGGACAUCCUCAAGGUGCAGCGGUAGAAUCAAACUCUCGAGGUAUGAAUCGGUAGAAGAUUGUGCAGACGAUGAUGAAGCAAAGCAGUGUGUAUGAAAAACAUUUGAAUGCUGAGAACCUAUUAUAUUCGCAACAUGAUACAACAGAUCAACACCUUCAUCAGCAUAGGUGGUAUUAAUUUUCCUUUGACUAGAAAUUUAGAGGCUUAAGAAGUUAGCAUGAGAUUUUCGCAUGACAUGGAUGAUGAAUAUGAGAAACUCAUCUGGGGAAUGAACCCACCAAGGUAUAUGCAAAAAUCAUUCCUUUGGGUUCAUAUAGAAGUAUGAUUGAACAUUAGAAUCAUAGAAUGUAAAUAAAUAAAUUUUAAUAUAGAUGAGAAUAAAUUUAAUAUAUUUCACAUGUUUAACACAGUUUUAAAACCCGCGGCAUCGCGCGGACUCAAUUUCUAGUAAUAUUCUAUGGUGUUAUCAG